ACUGACCUGGCCCAGGACACUGCUUCCGGACAGGGAAUGGUGACAGGCCAGCCGGGCCCCAGAGGAGAGACGGCAGCCCAACCGGGAGCCUGGAGGGAGCACAGAGCAAUGGCAGCCCGAAGAAAAGGCCAGUACAACCUGUGGAAGCCCUCUCUGGACAGCAUCUCUAGGUAGAUUCAGAAGGAGGUGGGGGAAGCAUCCCUCACCGAUCACGCACUUACUGAAUGUGGACCAGGCCGGAAAGCA